UGGGCUGUUCGCCCAUUAAAGCGGUACGCGAGCUGGGUUCAGAACGUCGUGAGACAGUUCGGUCCCUAUCUGUCGUGGGCGCAGGAAAUUUGAGAGGAGCUGUCCUUAGUACGAGAGGACCGGGAUGGACGUACCGCUGGUGCAUCAGUUGUUCCGCCAGGAGCAUGGCUGAGUAGCUACGUACGGACGGGAUAAGCGCUGAAAGCAUCUAAGCGUGAAGCCCCCCUCAAGAUGAGAUUUCCCAGUAUGUAAGACCCCUUGAAGACGACGAGGUAGAUAGGUUGGAGGUGGAAGCACGGCAACGUGUGGAGCUGACCAAUACUAAUCGGUCGAGGGCUUAUCCAAA
rnacentral:rRNA from 1 species